rnacentral:rRNA from 1 species
AGAGUUUGAUCCUGGCUCAGAAUCAACGCUGGCGGCGUGCCUAACACAUGCAAGUCGAACGGGAAAGUGGAGCAAUCCAUGAGUAUAGUGGCGACCGGGUGAGUAACACGUGACUACCUGCCCUUGAGUGGGGGAUAACCUCGGGAAACCGAGGCUAAUACCGCAUAACAUCGCAAGAUCAAAGGAGCAAUCCGCUUUUGGAGGGGGUCGCGGCUGAUUAGCUAGUUGGUAAGGUAAUGGCUUACCAAGGCGAAGAUCGGUAUCCGGCCUGAGAGGGCGCACGGACACACUGGAACUGAAACACGGUCCAGACUCCUACGGGAGGCAGCAGUGGGGAAUUUUGCGCAAUGGGGGAAACCCUGACGCAGCAACGCCGCGUGGAGGAUGAAGCCCCUUGGGGCGUAAACUCC